rnacentral:tRNA from 1 species
GCCCCCGUAACUCAAUUGGAUAGAGUAGCUCCGUCCUAAGGAGAAAGUUGCGAGUUCAACUCCCGCCGGGGGCA